rnacentral:rRNA from 1 species
AGAGCGCAGCAAACUGUGUGAAUUAAUGUGAACUGCAACCUGCCAUGAACAUCGACAACUUGAUUGCCAUGCGGCCACGGUUAGCCUGUGGCCACGCCUGUCCGAGAGUC